rfam:Streptomyces cyaneogriseus subsp. noncyanogenus strain NMWT 1, complete genome.
CUUCAGGGAGCCGAGCCAGAGCGGCUGGUCGGGGUGGUGUUCCUGGCCGUAGGUGGCGAGCAGGGCCUGGGCUUC